AGCAGUGGUCUUCCUGUCAUCACGAGCGUAAGAUCACUGUCAGCUCAUCCCAAGAGGGCUAAAAGAACACUUCCUCAACAAACAACAUCCAAAAGACAGAGAGUUCAAUACAGCAGUCGGCGUGUCUCUAAAGCAUCCACAUCAGAGGAUGUUGGUCCACAAACCCCCCCUUCUGUUACUCAGAGAAUGAUGAUGAUGAUGUCAGCACAACUCAGGGGGACCAGGCAGGGCAGAGCACAUUGAAUUUGAGAAAUAAAGACCAGAGUAAAGAUGUGGAUGUCUAUGCCGGCUGCACUGAGACACAUCAUCAAGACACUGAAAAAGGUGCUGAACCUUCUUGGGCAGAUACCUGUGAUAGAGAUCACAAUCGGCGAAGAAACCAAACAGAAAUGCACUGAGCUGAUUGAUGUACUGAAUGCUAUUCAGCCCCAGCAUAGUACUGCCAAAAGUGAAGGGAGGGCUUGAUCCAUUAAAGAUGGAAAGGGAUUAACUGCACGCAUAGUUUCAUUUAGCCUCAGCACAUCGAGUGCCCUCUGGUCUCCUUUGUGCCGGCACUGGACCUGGUUUGAGCAAAUUUUGAUGGUAAUGUUGAGAUGCUAGAACGUGUGCCCUGAGAAAAGUCAUGGUUAUUCUCAGAUGUCUUUAAAUUGUUUCUUCUUUCUGUUCUCUUUUUGUAUGUUUUGUAUGGAUCCUUCCAAAUCAGAUUUCAUAUUUCUGUCUCUGUGAUUAAAACCUUGGUGGUAUGUUAUCAUUGCUAUUCCUAUGCACCUUUAAUAGGACAAACGGUUUGUAAGAUACAGUUGACAGCUUGCUUACUGUAUGUUUCUGAGUGAUACAAAAUAAAACUUGGCUAAAACAAUUUA